rnacentral:rRNA from 1 species
AAAAGCCUCGUAGUUGAAUUUCUGCUACAUUGCCUAUUCUCCUUUACGAGUUUGGGUCUUUUGUGGCUUAUCUGGGUUCGCUUGCGUUCCCGGUGUUUUACUUUGAGAAAAUUAGAGUGCUCAAAGCAGGCUUUUGCCUUGAAUAGUUUAGCAUGGAAUAAUAAAGUAGGACUUUGGUUCUAUUUUGUUGGNUUUAGGUACCAAAGUAAUGGUUAAUAGGAACAGUUGGGGGCAUUCGUAUUUAACUGUCAGAGGUGAAAUUCUUAGAUUUGUUAAAGACAAACUACUGCGAAAGA